rnacentral:lncRNA from 1 species
ACAACAACAACAACAACAACAACAACAACAACAACAAAAGCGGCCAAGGGGAAUGGACAUACCAACAAAUAGACUGAGAGACUAUGAAGAAGUAUUAUCUGUUACCAUUUCACCAUUUUUCCACAAUGAGUUUAAAUUUUGCACCUGAACCAAGAACCAAGAAUAGCAAUGUGUCCUUUUCCUCUACAAAACUAUAUUUGGUCUAAUCUAUUCUCUGAAAGGAAGUAACCAUUGGAAAAUCAAAAUAAAAUUAAGGGACUUUAAAUUCAUUUGGGUUUCUCCUGAUUUCAGGAGCUGUACAGCAAGUAAAAGGAUAAGGAUAAUCCUAUAUAAUGUCAUUUCAGAGUGUGAUUUCAAGUACCAUUCUUCCAAAACGUCUUCCUCUGCUAAACUGCUAAUUCCCAAAUAUCUGUCAUUCAUUAACUCAAAAGACACCUGUGUCUACCAUGUGCCAGGCACUAGUAGUGGAAGAUGGUACAGGAGAAAGUACGGGAAAGGCGAAUGAAAAAAGGAUAUCACCAAGAGAAGAAAAGGUUCAGACAGGAGAAACAGAUUUUUCUGUUUCUCAAGUGUGAUGCUAAUGUCACUGUUAAUAUGUUUGAUUUAUAGCUCCAAUUAGCUAGUUCAGUAUAGGUGAUUGGAGCUUUUGACCAACUAGUACCCUUUUUAGUUGUGGAAUAAAAUUAUCCUGAAAAGAACAAUAUUUUAUAUUUAGGUUUUCUUUCUUUACUUACAGCUUUGGAAUGAUUAUGGAAUAGGC